UGUGUGUGUGUGUGUGUGUGCAUGUUUUUUCCCCAACAUAAAAUGUUUCCAGAAAACAGCCUUCUUUAAUUUGGGUAACAUUUAACUUUUUCCAUACAUGCUUUGGAAAAGCUACUAAUGAAGUUACAAGAGAACCCCACUGAACAAAGAAAAACCAUGAAAACAAAAGAUGCUGUUUUUCUGGGACGUGAUGAGAAGCUCAAGAACUGUUUUAUUACCAAUUUGCUUGGAGGAUAAUCAUCUCCCUGGUCAUUUUGGUGCAUGUGGAGCAUACUUCUCAAUCACCUCCUAGAUGUGGCAUGUGCAGGAUUCCCAAAUUGUGAUUGACACCAUGUGGACAUCAACUCCUGGC